GGAAGUUAGAAAAGCUCGAAAGCGGGAGAGGGAGGGGACAACUGAUAGAGACGGAGAGGGAUCUGGGGUCUGUGCCAUCAUAGCCGUCGAUUCGUUUGACAUCCCGAAUUACGGCCGCCGGUUCUCGAUUUCCCGUCAUCUCCCCGCCUCUCCGUCUUCCGUUUCUUGAUCUCUCAGUUGUGAUGCUAAAAGAUUAACAAAAUAUUUCUUUAAGUCUCCAUGAUGCCAAAGAAUGUGUGGGCGAUUCCUAGGACUGAUGCUUGGUCAUUGUUAGCUCUUGCAGAAGCCUGAAAAGGUAGCUGCCAAUGUAGCAAUUUAACUAAGUUCCGUAGUCUGCUUCAUAGUGAUUAUCUAUUUCAAUGUGGGCAUCACAGAAAAUUCAAAUUCCAAUGCGUUGGUUAUGAUUGUUUGGGACAUAAAACUCUCUCCUUCAAACAUACUGGUAUAUGAGUUUGGGAGAGGGAAGCCCUUUGCUGCUGCCACCACUUCUGCCUCUGCCUCUGCCUGUGCGCCUUUUCCUUACCAUGUCUCGUGAUCUGGACAGCCCUUUACAAACUCAGAUGGCAGUUGCAACCAUCAAAGGAACCAGUUGUGAUUGCCUUGAAAAUAAGAGGAUGGAAAGAAAACCUUCUGCAAGAAGACGUGUUUUUGUUCAAACUGAAACUGGCAGUGUGUUGGGCAUAGAGUUAGACAGGAGUGACAAUGCAUAUACAGUGAAGAAGAGAUUGCAGCUUGCCCUCAAUGUCCCAACUGAAGAAAGCUCAUUGACAUAUGGGGAUACAGUAUUAAAGAAUGAUCUAAGUGCUGUUAGACAUGAUUCUCCACUUCUUCUUACAAGGAAAUUCUUGCACAGAAGCUCAUCUACGCCGUGUCUCUCACCCACUGGUCGGGAUCUUCAGCAGAGAGAUCAGAGUGGUCCAAUUGAGAUAUUGGGGUGCUCAAAUUACUUUGCUCCAACAAAGUUAUUGGUGAAGGACAUUGUGAAGGCAAUAGAGAAUGGUAUUGAUCCAAUUCCUGUUUGUAGUGGGCUUGGAGGUUCAUACUAUUUUAGAAAUUGUAAUGGUGAGAAUGUUGCCAUUGUGAAGCCAACAGAUGAGGAGCCUUUUGCCCCAAACAACCCAAAGGGUUGGGUGGGGAAAACCCUUGGGCAACCAGGCCUGAAACGUUCAGUGAGGGUUGGGGAGACAGGUUUUAGAGAAGUGGCAGCUUAUCUUCUUGACUAUGAUCAUUUUUCCAAUGUGCCAUCUACUGCCCUCGUAAAGAUUACACACUCAAUUUUCAAUGUCAAUGAUAGAGUGAAUGGAAAUAUGAAUCAAAAUGGGAAGCAGGUCAGCAAGAUUGCCUCAUUGCAGCAGUUCAUCCCGCAUGAUUUUGAUGCUAGUGAUCAUGGUACUUCUAGCUUCACUGUUUCUGCUGUACAUAGGAUUGGGAUUUUAGAUAUUCGGAUUUUAAACACAGACAGGCAUGCAGGAAACCUUUUAGUCAGGAAGCUUGACGGGUUUGAGAGGUUUGGUCAGGUGGAGCUUGUUCCUAUUGACCAUGGGCUUUGUCUUCCAGAAAGCUUAGAGGAUCCAUACUUUGAGUGGAUCCAUUGGCCACAGGCAUCUAUUCCUUUCUCUGAGGACGAGCUAGAAUAUAUUGAUAAUCUUGACCCUAUUCAUGAUUCUGAUAUGCUGCGAAUGGAGUUGCCCAUGAUUCGAGAGGCAUGCCUCCGAGUUUUGGUUCUUUGCACCACUUUCCUUAAGGAAGCAGCAGCAUUUGGUCUAUGUCUUGCUGAGAUUGGUGAAAUGAUGAGUAGGGAGUUUCAGGCCCAUAAGGGGGAUCCAAGUGAGCUUGAGGUUAUAUGCAUUGAGGCACGAAGGCAGUUAGAGGAGAUGGAGGUGUUGGCUUUGGAAAGGAAAGUAAGAGAAGAGGAGUUUCAGUUUGAUAUGGAUUGUGAAGAUGAGGAAUUUGAUUUGAUCCCUAGUAAGGAAGAGAAAUUGGUGACUAAAACUACCUCUCAUUUUGGGUUCACAAGUGCUAAUGGGCGAAAUCCACUUUCUAAGUUGGAGGAGAAUGUUGAGGAGGAGGCAGCAGCAGAGAUUGAGGGGAAUGGCAUGCUCUCCCAAGUGGAGAGGAGCCAGGUUCCAAGUGCUUUGAAGUUGUCCUUGUCACUGGAAAACACAAAGGUUGGUAAGAAGACUUGGCAACACCAGGGUGCAAUGUUAAAAGAUGGUUGCUUGGCUGGUCCAUCUUCUGGAAACUGGAGUGUCAAUGAGCAGUUGCCUGCAAGCACUAGUUUUGAGCUGACAGAUAUCAAUGGAGAGGAUUGGACACAGUUCCUUGAAAUUUUCCAGAAGUUGCUGUGCCCUGCUUUUGCUACUCGUAAAUCUACAAGUUUAGUUCAGAGGCAAAGGCAGAGGCUUGGAACUUCAUGCCAGUUUUGAGAAGAUAGCUAUCAGAUAUAGAAUGUGAAGUCCAAAGAAGAAUAAUGGGGUUGUAUACCCUGGGGAUUUUAGGUGUCCUAGGUUCCCAUAUGAUGGGCAACAUCUGGGAGUUGGAGCCUCUUUUUUACGUAGUCAUAUUGUGAAAUAGUAAGCUAAGAAGGGUUGGAGGGCUAGCAGUUUGUCCCAUCUGGUCAGGUCGAGUUGGUGAUGAUAAAGGAUGGCAGUGAGAUGGUGAUGCUAAAGGAUAGCAGUGAGGUGAAAAAGCUGCAGAGACACCGAGGUGCUGUUUGGAGGAAAAGAAAGAAACAUUACAGCAGCUGCAGCAGCUUGAGAUAGGGAAGAAUGAAAGUGAGAGAGACUUGCAAAUACAGAAAACAGAGGUAGAUGUCUCCUCCAUCAACCCUGCAAGUAUUCAUUUUCACCCCUGGUAGGAGGCCCCAUCACCCAGACUUCCUGCUGAGACUUCCAGCAUUUAUGGCAAAUCAUUAUUAUUAUUUUCUUAGAGGCAUUUGAGAACAAUUUCUGUGAUUAAGAGGGAAAUCACCUUAAGUAGAAUGCUUUUGGUUUUUGAUUUCUAUUUGAAGAAACCUGUGAUGGAGGUCCUAUAAACUUGCAAUCAUUGAGUUGUCUUAUUCUUCCAAAAUAAUAAGCCAUAGGUUUUUUCUUUUUGUUUA